GCUUGUCUCAAAGAUUAAGCCAUGCAUGUCUAAGUAUAAACUGCUUAUACUGUGAAACUGCGAAUGGCUCAUUAAAUCAGUUAUAGUUUAUUUGAUGGUUCUUGCUACUUGGAUAACCGUAGUAAUUCUAGAGCUAAUACAUGCAUCAAACCUCGACUUUUUUGGAAGAGGUGUAUUUAUUAGAUGGAAACCAAUGCGGGGCAACCCGGAUUCAGGUGAUUCAUAAUAACUUUCGGAUCGAUCUUCGGAUCGAUGCAUCAUUCAAGUUUCUGCCCUAUCAGCUUUGGAUGGUAGGGUAUUGGCCUACCAUGGCUUUAACGGGUAACGGAGAAUUAGGGUUCGAUUCCGGAGAGGGAGCCUGAGAAACGGCUACCACAUCCAAGGAAGGCAGCAGG
rnacentral:rRNA from 1 species